CUCGUAGGCGGUUUCGUAAGUCGGAUGUGAAAACUCCAGGCUCAACUUGGAGACGCCAUUCGAUACUGCGAUGACUUGAGUCCGGUAGGGGAGUGUGGAAUUCCUGGUGUAGCGGUGAAAUGCGCAGAUAUCAGGAGGAACACCGGCGGCGAAGGCGGCACUCUGGGCCGGUACUGACGCUGAGGAGCGAAAGCGUGGGUAGCAAACAGGAUUAGAUACCCUGGUAGUCCACGCCGUAAACGGUGGGCACUAGGUGUGGGAUUCACUCAACGGAUUCCGUGCCGCAGCUAACGCAUUAAGUGCCCCGCCUGGGGAGUACGGCCGCAAGGCUAAA
rnacentral:rRNA from 1 species